rnacentral:rRNA from 1 species
AUUGAACGCUGGCGGCAGGCUUAACACAUGCAAGUCGAGCGGGGAAGGGUAGCUUGCUACCUAACCUAGCGGCGGACGGGUGAGUAAUGCUUAGGAAUCUGCCUAUUAGUGGGGGACAACAUUCCGAAAGGAAUGCUAAUACCGCAUACGCCCUACGGGGGAAAGCAGGGGAUCUUCGGACCUUGCGCUAAUAGAUGAGCCUAAGUCAGAUUAGCUAGUUGGUGGGGUAAAGGCCUACCAAGGCGACGAUCUGUAGCGGGUCUGAGAGGAUGAUCCGCCACACUGGGACUGAGACACGGCCCAGACUCCUACGGGAGGCGGCAGUGGGGAAUAUUGGACAAUGGGCGAAAGCCUGAUCCAGCCAUGCCGCGUGUGUGAAGAAGGCCUUUUGGUUGUAAAGCACUUUAAGCGAGGAGGAGGCUACUGGUAUUAAUACUACCGGAUAGUGGACGUUACUCGCAGAAUAAGCACCGGCUAACUCUGUGCCAGCCGCCGCCGUAACAC